UCUUCCCCAACAAUCUUUCGCGGCAAAGCAAUUCAGGUAGUAUUCAUUUAUACAGUUCAGUAAUCCAUUCAUAGACAGCAGCCAAGAAUAACAGAAUUAGACAAUAGUUACAUCUAGUUCUAAUUUAAGAUACCAAGCAAUAAAACUCGACUUUCUUUAGCAUCUAGAGUAUGCUUCCUGUUUCGAAGAGUUUAUGGACUGAAUAAAUACAAAAAGAAAAAAAAAGAACAGAUGAAAUUCCAAUAGCCACAGUGAAACCAAGGCUGCCUUGUCGAGCCGGUGACGCCUUCCGCCAGCGAUGUUCACCGAAGUGCAUUGAUUUCUAAAAGCAAGAGUUUUAUGUCAGAAAAACAAAUAGAAUAGAUAGAGAAAAAGAAAAAGGGAUAGAACAGGGAAAUGGGGACGGCAACAGCAGCAGCCGCGAGCCACCGCCGGCGCUGCCGCGCCACGGCGGUCCGCUGUGGCCGCCAAUAGCAAGAGGAGAGAGAGAGAGGUUGAGGGCAGAGAGAGAAAGAUCGAGACAGAGAGAGGGGUUGAGAGAAGGAGAACGAGAGAGAGAGCGGAGAGAGGGCAGCGAGGGAGCAUACCUGGGGCAGGGGUAGCGGUGCGACGGAGACGGCGGUAGUGGCGGCGGGGCUCGACCGGGAGGGGCGAAGUUUCAGGGGGAAGAAGGGAGGCAGAAAACUUAGGAAUUGAAUUUUAGAAUUUAGGGAUUUAGAAGUAGGAAAAAGAGGAGGAAAAGAGAGGGGCCGAUCUCACCGCACCGGAGGCGGCGAGGACCGGCGACGUCCUGCCAAGAGAAGAGGAAGGGAGCAGUUUUGGAGAAGGGAGUUCUGGUGUCUUCUAUAGAAAGA
rnacentral:lncRNA from 1 species